rnacentral:rRNA from 1 species
UGAACGCUAGCUACAGGCUUAACACAUGCAAGUCGAGGGGCAGCAUGGUCUUAGCUUGCUAAGGCCGAUGGCGACCGGCGCACGGGUGAGUAACACGUAUCCAACCUGCCGUCUACUCUUGGACAGCCUUCUGAAAGGAAGAUUAAUACAAGAUGGCAUCAUGAGUCCGCAUGUUCACAUGAUUAAAGGUAUUCCGGUAGACGAUGGGGAUGCGUUCCAUUAGAUAGUAGGCGGGGUAACGGCCCACCUAGUCUUCGAUGGAUAGGGGUUCUGAGAGGAAGGUCCCCCACAUUGGAACUGAGACACGGUCCAAACUCCUACGGGAGGCAGCAGUGAGGAAUAUUGGUCAAUGGGCGAGAGCCUGAACCAGCCAAGUAGCGUGAAGGAUGACUGCCCUAUGGGUUGUAAACUUCUUUUAUAAAGGAAUAAAGUCGGGUAUGGAUACCCGUUUGCAUGUACUUUAUGAAUAAGGAUCGGCUAACUCCGUGCCAGCAGCCGCGGUAAUACGGAGGAUCCGAGCGUUAUCCGGAUUUAUUGGGUUUAAAGGGAGCGUAGAUGGAUGUUUAAGUCAGUUGUGAAAGUUUGCGGCUCAACCGUAAAAUUGCAGUUGAUACUGGAUAUCUUGAGUGCAGUUGAGGCAGGCGGAAUUCGUGGUGUAGCGGUGAAAUGCUUAGAUAUCACGAAGAACUCCGAUUGCGAAGGCAGCCUGCUAAGCUGCAACUGACAUUGAGGCUCGAAAGUGUGGGUAUCAAACAGGAUUAGAUACCCUGGUAGUCCACACGGUAAACGAUGAAUACUCGCUGUUUGCGAUAUACUGCAAGCGGCCAAGCGAAAGCGUUAAGUAUUCCACCUGGGGAGUACGCCGGCAACGGUGAAACUCAAAGGAAUUGACGGGGGCCCGCACAAGCGGAGGAACAUGUGGUUUAAUUCGAUGAUACGCGAGGAACCUUACCCGGGCUUAAAUCGCAGAUGAAUUACGGUGAAAGCCGUAAGCCGCAAGGCAUCUGUGAAGGUGCUGCAUGGUUGUCGUCAGCUCGUGCCGUGAGGUGUCGGCUUAAGUGCCAUAACGAGCGCAACCCUUGUUGUCAGUUACUAACAGGUUCCGCUGAGGACUCUGACAAGACUGCCAUCGUAAGAUGUGAGGAAGGUGGGGAUGACGUCAAAUCAGCACGGCCCUUACGUCCGGGGCUACACACGUGUUACAAUGGGGGGUACAGAGGGCCGCUACCACGCGAGUGGAUGCCAAUCCCCAAAACCUCUCUCAGUUCGGACUGGAGUCUGCAACCCGACUCCACGAAGCUGGAUUCGCUAGUAAUCGCGCAUCAGCCACGGCGCGGUGAAUACGUUCCCGGGCCUUGUACACACCGCCCGUCAAGCCAUGGGAGCCGGGGGUACCUGAAGUGCGUAACCGCGAGGAGCGCCCUAGGGUAAAACUGGUA